rnacentral:rRNA from 1 species
UAGGGAAUCUUCCGCAAUGGACGCAAGUCUGACGGAGCAACGCCGCGUGAGUGAAGAAGGAUUUCGGUUCGUAAAACUCUGUUGUUAGAGAAGAACAGCGCAUAGAGUAACUGUUAUGCGUGUGACGGUAUCUAACCAGAAAGCCACGGCUAACUACGUGCCAGCAGCCGCGGUAAUACGUAGGUGGCAAGCGUUAUCCGGAAUUAUUGGGCGUAAAGCGCGCGUAGGCGGUUUUUUAAGUCUGAUGUGAAAGCCCACGGCUCAACCGUGGAGGGUCAUUGGAAACUGGAAAACUUGAGUGCAGAAGAGGAAAGUGGAAUUCCAUGUGUAACGGUGAAAUGCGCAGAGAUAUGGAGGAACACCAGUGGCGAAGGCGACUUUCUGGUCUGUAACUGACGCUGAUGUGCGAAAGCGUGGGAAUCAAACAGG